rnacentral:rRNA from 1 species
GGGGGAAUAUUGGACAAUGGACCGAGAGUCUGAUCCAGCAAUUCUGUGUGCACGAUGAAGUUUUUCGGAAUGUAAAGUGCUUUCAGAUGGGAAGAAAGAAAUGACGGUACCAACAGAAGAAGUGACGGCUAAAUACGUGCCAGCAGCCGCGGUAAUACGUAUGUCACGAGCGUUAUCCGGAUUUAUUGGGCGUAAAGCGCGUCUAGGUGGUUAUGUAAGUCUGAUGUGAAAAUGCAGGGCUCAACUCUGGAUUGCGUUGGAAACUGUAUGACGAGAGUACUGGAGAGGUAAGAGGAACUACAAGUGUAGAGGUGAGAUUCGUAGAUAUUUGUAGGAAUGCCGAUGGGGAAGCCAGCUUACUGGACAGAUACUGACGCUAAAGCGCGAUAGCGUGGGUAGCAAACAGG